rnacentral:lncRNA from 1 species
CGGGGAAUAAGGGAAAGGAGAGGAAAGGAAGGAGGCUUUUAAUUUAGUUUGGUGAUGUCUACAAAUGCAGCGUCAGAAGAUGAAGCAACAUCGGCUGCAUCGGGAGGAGUAAAGGAAAUGCUUUUAGUUCCAUUUUCAAAUCCUAAGGCUUAUGAAGUGACAAAUGCUUGGAAGUACACAUUAGAGCAGGACGUGAACACUGAGAAAGUGAAAGAAAUUCACUACAUAUCGACUUGUAAAAAAUCUCACAAUCUUUAAGAUGCUGUGUUUUCAUAUCAAGAUACAGAGAAUCUAGAAAUGAAGAAAGUUUCCAGGAGAUAUUUUUCUGCUACGGGAACAACAGGUAAUCCGGUGCUUAGAUGAAAGCAGUUAGUUGAUGUGUUUUGCCAUACGUAUGUUCAUUGGUCA